rnacentral:lncRNA from 1 species
GGGGCAUGCUCAUGGGUUAAAUUCACUUGUUUGUUUUUCCUUUUUUGGGGGGCCGCAUUCGAGAGACUUGGAAGGUCCCUGGGCCAGGGAUUGAAUCAGAGCCGCAUGGGCGACCUACGCCACAGCUGAGGUAACACGGGACCCUUAACCCACUGCAGCACAGCGGGAACUCCCUGCUGCACGUCUCUGAGCCACACUGUCUUCCUUGAGGAGGCGCUGCUGAGGGUGACGGAGACCCCCCUACUGGAGGUGCCACUGAGGUGUGGCAGGGAGGGGGCAUCCAUCCGUCUGUCCCCAGGCCUCGGACCCUGGUGCCUGAGAGACACGGAUGCUGCAAGACUCCAUCUCCAGCACCACCACUGCUGCGCUCAGACCCUGGGGCUCUGUCAGGAGUCUGCCCUGCACGGCUUUUAUCAAAACAUCCAAAACUAGGCCAGAGACAAGGCCAGGGAACCUGCAGCCCUCGGGCCACUCCAGGCCGCCUACCAGGUUCCGGCAGAGCUGCCGGGCGGGAAGUGGACCCCGCGGGCACUUUCGAGCCUCUGCACCCCAGCGUCCCUUCUGCUGCCGAAAGAGUUCUCCACAGAGCGCUGCUGGAGUCCGGGAGCCUGGAGUCUGUGAACCUGGAUGAGAAAACAGUCACAUCCAUAUCGGCACCGACUAAAUUCAGCAUCGCCCUGCCUUGUGAAUGUGAGCAGCAAAACCCAGUGAGGUCUGUGGUUUUGCCACCGACGUUAUCAACCACAAACCCUACUGGGUUUCCGAACAUCCUACCUUUAUUGCAGAAAUUUCAGGAUGGCAUUUGGACUCAAAUCACGGUAGUUCUUAAAUCCACCACUAGGUAUUCUUUUAAAUGUGCUAAGAAGAAGUUGGAGUUCCCUGGUGGCCUAGCUGGUUAGGGAUCCUGCAUUAUCACUGCUGUAGCUGGGUUAGAUUCCUGGCCUGGGAGUGUCUGCAGGCUGCUGGCCAAAAAAAAAGAAGAAGAAGGAGAAAAGGAAGAGGAAGGGGAAGAAAAGAAGAAGAGGCAUGUAUAUUAAAAAAUAGUUUGACAAAUUUCAGUGCAUUUGGCUUCCUUUAUAAUCCUACAUAUUUUGCUAUUUUGCAUUGUGCAUUUAAAAACAUGAUCCUGAGAAGGGGUGUCAAAAGCCUAGUUAAUUUUUUUUUUUUUUUUUUUUGGCUGUGCCCAAGGCAGGUGGAAGUUCCCCGGCCAGGGACUGAAUCUGAGCCACGACAGUGACCCAAGCCACCGCAGUGAAAAUGCUGGAUCCUUAACCUGCUGCACCACAAGAACACUCAAAAGCCUAGUUGAGGUAAUGCCGGGGAGCUGAUAUUCUGGAGCGCUGGCAGUCAUUUUGUGACUCUGAGGGUAAAGCUGACUCAGUGAGAAGGGCAGACUGAGGAGUGGGGGAAGUUCCAGGGUCCUUUCCCAGCUAUGACCAGAAUUAACCAACCGGGGAAAGUCCCCUCUUCUGGGCUUAUUUCUUGCUGUAACACAUGGCCUCGUUGUUUAGCCAGUUGAGUCAGGG